CACUUUUUCUCGCCUUCUCUUCGACCACCAAUGCAGCGCCACCAUCGAUCAUCACCCCCAGCGGCUCCGUCAGAACCAUAGAACCACCACCAUCAUCUUCUUCUUCUUUUUCCACCUUCGCCGAACAACCCCCAUGAAAACCCUUUCUCUCUUUCUCUUCCCCUUGUCUCCUGCCUUCUUUGUCUCACCGCCGACUACCAUCCAGCACCGCUGCGACCAUAUUCUUCUCCUCCUUACAACCUCGCACUGUGGCUCUCUAGCUCGCCCCUGCCUCCCUCGUUUCCAGUCGCAGAAUCAGAACAAAGCUACUCCAGUUCCAGCGAGUUCAGAUGCAACAGCGGCUGGUCACUGCCACUGCAUCCCUCUCUCCUAUACUCUUGCUCUGUUCUUUGACUCAGAAGUUGGGAAGA